UCUACUUUUGAUUUGUUUACCAAAUACUGUGCAAACAUUUAGCUCGUAUAUAAAUUGAAUAACUUCUUUUAUAAGUUUUAAUAUUUGUUACGUCUUUCAUUCUGUGAGUUUAUAUCAAUAUUGUUUAAAAAGAUAAUCAAGAAAAUAAGUUAUGAAAGAGUAGAUUACUAGAUAAUAUUAAUUACGGUACGGUAGCCUAUAAAAUAAAUGACACUGACUGACUGAGUCCGAGGACACAAUUAAGAUGACAGCAUUACUGAAUACAAUAAAAACGGCAAUUACAAGCAAAAGUUUUGGUAUGCCUAUCUACACCGUAGUUGAGAAAACUAAAACAUAUGAAGAAAGACGUUAUCCUGAGACGAGAUGGGUCAGUACUAAAGUAGAGGGCAUGUUUCAUAAAGAAUCCAGAAGCACAGGUUUUAGGAGACUGUUUAAGUAUCUUCAAGGUGAUAAUGAACCAAGUCAGAAAGUCGACAUGACAGCACCAGUAGCAACUAAAAUACAUCCAGGAGCCGGACCCAACUGUGAAAGUACUUUUACAGUUUCGUUCUUCAUCCCACCAGAGAAUGCAGAUAAUCCUCCAGUACCGACUAGUCCCGAUGUUUAUUUAGAAACCUGGCCACCUCAAACUAUUUACACAAAACAAUUUGAUGGGUCUCCUAGUGAUGAUAACUUUGUUUCAAAUGCCCAAGAAUUAGGUCAAGCACUGAGUGGUAAAAACAUAAACCCAAAUAUUUGGUUUACGGCCAGUUAUGAUAGUCCCUUUAAAAUGUUUAAUAAAAGAAAUGAGGUUUGGUAUUUAAAACUUGUCGAAGAAAACAAAACAAUAAAUGAAAACUAAUAUGUAUUUUUUUUUAGUAGUCUCGGUCACCCAGAACCUCCUAGUCUUUAACGUACAGAGGGUCUGGCUGGACCAUUGUUAAUAUUUGACGAAAAGUCCAUUGCCCAUGCCUAACUGGAAGUUUGGUUUUUAAUGCGGUUGAUUAUCCAGUAUCCUUGGACAAGUGAAGAGUUGCAAUAAAUCCCAUAAUUCUUGCAUUAAUAUAAACAAAUAUGAAUCGUGACAACGAAUUAGGAUUAAUUUAAAAAACAUAGAUAUGGCCCAUGAAGAGAGAAAUUUUACAAUAAAAACAAAUUAAAGACUGUCUGAUAUUGAACUGGCAUGGAAUCAAAUAGAUUUUUUGAAAUGGCAUUCUUAAAUUAAUUUCAUAGGCAUCAACAUCUUGUUUUAGGACUAGUUACCUCCCUUAGACACUGUUUAUGAUCAUGUAAAAGACUGGAUAAUCUAGCCAAUGACCUAUUAUUCUCAAAUGUUGACAACACAUCCAGACUAAUAUUCAUAGAAUAUUUUUCUGGACGAUAAAGACUAGUUUUUUUAACGAAAUUGAAAUAUAUAUGAAAUACAUGUAGUUGCAGCUUUGAUGAAAAUUACAACAGAUCACCAUGAACUUAUAAGGUCGAUGAUAUCACACAAAAGGAACAUCACUAAGGAACAUUACUUCACUCGUAGAUCAUUUCGAGACUAACGCAUGAUUCAUUUUUAUUUCAAUAAUUUGCUUGCAGGUAGGGGCCUUUAACAGUGGAAAAACCCGAAGAAAACCCACAUUGUUGGACAGGCGACUCUACUUCUUGUCACAUACGAGCGGGGAAUCAAAUAAAAGUGGAGGAAAAGUAGGAGUAAAUACGACUAUCUGGGCAAAGAGUAAUCUUAGGAUUAGGAAUGGAAAUUACAAUGUGUUUGUCUGAAAAUGACUGGGGGAUAGGAUGGCCGUGUGGUUACCACGCGCGCGCUGUAUCAUAAGGCCUGUCAUUGAGUCAACUGGUGUGGUAUCGAUUCCCCGGUUGUAUGUGACAAGGAGUAGGGUGGCCUGUCCAACCUCGUGGGUUUUCUCCGGGUCCUCCGGUUUCCUCCCACUACUAAAGACUCCUAUUUGUGUCUGACUGACAUAUUUGUUUCUUUUGGCUGAAAGUGUCUUUUACUAUUUGAAUUUGUUUUCUAUUCAUGUAUAAUUUAUUAUAGUAUUUAUUCUAUUCAUGUAUCAUAUUUUUAUUUUGUUAAUUUUAUUAUAUUGUUCUGUUUAUAAUAAAAUAUUCUAUUUUUA